CCGACUCAAGACGGCUUGGUAGCGCGUGAGCAAUACUUUAAGGUAGUUAGGCGUCUCUGCAGCGUUUCCCUGGAUUGCUCACAGCUCUGGGUGUGGCAGCCUCAGGGCAGGAGUCCUCGAGCUCUAGAACUUCGCUGGCGCGUUCUCAGCGAAAAUUGGCGCAAACCCCGCGGAGAAUCAUCUGGAAAGAAUCUAGCCAGCUGGUAACCAUGAGCGAAUGGAUGAAGAAAAGCCCCCUAGAAUGGGAAGAUUACGUUUAUAAAGAAGUAAGAGUGAUAGCCAGUGAGAAGGAGUAUAAAGGAUGGCUUCUAACUACAGACCCAGUCUCCGCCAACAUUGUCCUCGUGAACUUCCUUGAAGAUGGCAGACUGUCUGUGACUGGAAUUAUGGGACAUUCUGUGCAGACUGUGGAAACUGUGAGUGCAGGGGACCACAGAGUGAGAGAGAAGCUGAUGCAUUUAUUCACAUCUGGAGAUUGUGAAGGAUACAGCCCUGAGGAUCUGGAAAGGAAGAAGACUAGUAUAAAGAAAUGGCUUGAGAAGAACCACAUCCCUGUCACUGAGCAGGGAGAUGCACAAAGGACUCUCUGUGUGGCUGGGGUUCUGACUAUAGACCCACCAUAUGCUCCAGAAAAUUGCAGCAGCUCUAAUGAGAUCAUUCUGUCCCGAAUUCAGGAUCUUAUUCAAGGACAUCUUUCAGCUUCCCAGUGAGAGGCCAAGCACUAUGCACACGCUGACUUCACUGGUUUUGUAUUAAAUUCUUCAAAUGAUGGAUGGAACUCAAGAAGUGUUAUCAUGUGAUGACUCCAUCUGUCAGAAUGAGCUCUUCACGACCCAAGCCUUUAAACAGAUCAGCUGCUCCUUUACCUGAUGGGAAGCGGCCACAAACCGGAUCCAGCCGUCAUCCAAGGAGACAACGAAUGCCCCUCUCUGAAGCUGCACAUUCACUUGACCUCCCCCGAACAAGACUAGGGGGUACACAGACACCAUGCUGCAGUCCCGGAUAAACACCCGGCUAGUUUUGAUUUUCUCAUGGUACAACAGGUAGGGGCUGUCGAAGUGUCUGACCUGUAACACAAAACCUCAGAUG